AGAGAGGGACGAACUGGGGUUUUGCCUAUACAGGAAGGGAAAACAGCAGAAUUUUCCCAUUAGGAUCAUGUUACAAAAACAAGGAGACCGGAGACUAUAUCAUGGUGUAAGAAUGUGGAGUCAGACACUAAGUGAAUCCCAGGCCCAUGCUUCCACAGGGUGGGAUCCAAGUGUCUGGACCUCCCUCUACUUUAUUCCACCCUCCUAUCUGGAUC